rnacentral:lncRNA from 1 species
UCAAAUCUAAGGAGUACGUUCGCGAGACAUUCGCUUGGAUGCACUACUACUGGUACCUUACAAAUGAUGGUAUUGAGUUCCUCAGGACUUACCUUAACCUUCCUUCUGAAAUUGUGCCUGCUACUUUGAAAAAAUCUGCUAAGCCUCUUGGUCGUCCCAUGGGUGGACCUCCUGGCGAUCGUCCCCGGUAAUUUACCUAUUCAUUUUGUCUGCCUUGUUUGAAACUGAGAUUUUGUGUGUGUAUUUGUCGGGGGAUUAACUGUAUGUGUGUUAUUCAUUGGAUAUAUGCAGUGGACCACCAAGGUUCGAGGGUGAUAGGCCAAGGUUCGGCGACAGGGAAGGGUAUCGUGCUGGACCAAGAGGUCCACCUGGUGAGUUUGGAGGUGAAAAAGGUGG